rnacentral:rRNA from 1 species
UACGUAGGGUGCAAGCGUUAAUCGGAAUUACUGGGCGUAAAGCGUGCGCAGGCGGUGAUGUAAGACAGAUGUGAAAUCCCCGGGCUCAACCUGGGAACUGCAUUUGUGACUGCAUCGCUGGAGUGCGGCAGAGGGGGAUGGAAUUCCGCGUGUAGCAGUGAAAUGCGUAGAUAUGCGGAGGAACACCGAUGGCGAAGGCAAUCCCCUGGGCCUGCACUGACGCUCAUGCACGAAGCGUGGGAGCAACAGG